CCUACGGGGCGCAGCAGUGGGGAAUAUUGCGCAAUGGGCGAAAGCCUGACGCAGCGACGCCGCGUGAGGGAUGAAGGUCUUCGGAUCGUAAACCUCUGUCAGGAGGGAAGAAGUGGUUAUAUGCGAAUAGUGUAUGACUUUGACGGUACCUCCAAAGGAAGCACCGGCUAACUCCGUGCCAGCAGCCGCGGUAAUACGGAGGGUGCGAGCGUUAAUCGGAGUUACUGGGCGUAAAGGGUGCGCAGGCGGUUGAGUAAGACAGAUGUGAAAUCCCC
rnacentral:rRNA from 1 species